rnacentral:rRNA from 1 species
GAUGAACGCUGGCGGCGUGCCUAACACAUUCAAGGUCGAACGGAGUUAUUACGAAUGAAGUUUUCGGAUGGAUUUGUUUUAACUUAGUGGCGGACGGGUGAGUAACGCGUGAGCAACCUGCCUUUGCAUUCGGGAUAACAGCUGGAAACGACUGCUAAUACCGAAUAACGUACAUUGAUUGCAUGUUUAAUGUACCAAAGAUCCGCUGUAAGAUGGGCUCGCGUCCGAUUAGGUAGUUGGUGAGGUAACGGCUCACCAAGCCUACGAUCGGUAGCCGGACUGAGAGGUCGAACGGCCACAUUGGAACUGAGAAACGGUCCAGACUCCUACGGGAGGCAGCAGUGGGGAAUAUUGGGCAAUGGGCGCAAGCCUGACCCAGCGACGCCGCGUGAGGGAAGAAGGUCUUCGGAUUGUAAACCUUUGUCAACAGGGACGAAGAAAUGACGGUACCUGUGAAGGAAGCCACGGCUAACUACGUG